rnacentral:rRNA from 1 species
CCUACGGGAGGCAGCAGUGAGGAAUAUUGGUCAAUGGACGCAAGUCUGAACCAGCCAUGCCGCGUGCAGGAAGACGGCUCUAUGAGUUGUAAACUGCUUUUGUACGAGGGUAAACUCAGAUACGCGUAUCUUUCUGAAAGUAUCGUACGAAUAAGGAUCGGCUAACUCCGUGCCAGCAGCCGCGGUAAUACGGAGGAUUCAAGCGUUAUCCGGAUUUAUUGGGUUUAAAGGGUGCGUAGGCGGGCGCAUAAGUUAGAGGUGAAAUCCCGAGGCUCAACUUCGGAAUUGCCUCGGAUACUGUUCGGCUAGAGAGUAGUUGAGGUAGGCGGAAUGUAUGGUGUAGCGGUGAAAUGCUUAGAGAUCAUACAGAACACCGAUUGCGAAGGCAGCUUACCAAGCUACUUCUGACGCUGAGGCACGAAGGCGCGGGGAGCAAACAGGAUUAGAUACCCCAGUAGUC